rnacentral:rRNA from 1 species
GUGCAAAGGUAGCAUAAUCAUUAGUUUUUUAAUUGAAGGCUUGUAUGAAGGGUUGGACAAAGAAUAAUCUGUUUCUAUUUUUAUUUUUGAAUUUAACUUUUAAGUGAAAAGGCUUAAAUAAUUUUAAGGGACGAUAAGACCCUAUAAAUCUUUAUAUUAAGUUAUUUUUAGUUAAUUAAUGUGGUAAAUAUAAUAAUUAAAUAAUGUAUAUUGUGUUGGGGUGAUAAGAAUAUAAUAAAUAACUGUUCUAAAAUUAAAACAAUAUUAUUUGUAAUUAAUAGUAGAUCCUUUAUUGAGAUUAAAAGUUUAAGUUACUUUAGGGAUAACAGCGUUAUUUUUUUUGAGAGUUCUUAUCGAAAAAAAAGUUUGCGACCUCGAUGUUGAAUUAAAAUUUCUUUGUGGUGUAGCUGUUACAGGAGAGAGUCUGUUCGACUUUU